UAUACCUUACUGUUGCCUCGGCGUAUGCUGGCCCCUAGGGGUCCCUCUUGUCUCAGAGGAGCAGGCACGCCGGCGGCCAAGUUAACUCUUGUUUUUACACUGAAACUCUGAGAAAAAAAACAAAAAUGAAUCAAAACUUUCAACAACGGAUCUCUUGGUUCUGGCAUCGAUGAAGAACGCAGCGAAAUGCGAUAAGUAAUGUGAAUUGCAGAAUUCAGUGAAUCAUCGAAUCUUUGAACGCACAUUGCGCCCUCCGGUAUUCCGGAGGGCAUGCCUGUUCGAGCGUCAUUUCAACCCUCAAGCCUGGCUUGGUGUUGGGGCACUGCUUCUCUCGCGGGAAGCAGGCCCUCAAAUCUAGUGGCGAGCUCGCCAGGACCCCGAGCGUAGUAGUUAAACCCUCGCUUUGGAAGGCCCUGGCGGUGCCCUGCCGUUAAACCCCCAACUCUUUGAAAAUUUGACCUCGGAUCAGGUAGGAAUACCCGCUGAACUUAAGCAU
rnacentral:rRNA from 1 species